rnacentral:tRNA from 1 species
GCGUCGGUGGUGUAGCGGUCAGCAUGGUUACUUUCCAAGCAGUCGACCUAGGCUCGACUUCCGGCCGACGCA